rnacentral:rRNA from 1 species
UACGAAGGGGGCUAGCGUUGUUCGGAUUUACUGGGCGUAAAGCGCACGUAGGCGGAUCUUUAAGUCAGAGGUGAAAUCCCAAGGCUCAACCUUGGAACUGCCUUUGAUACUGGGGAUCUCGAGUCCGGGAGAGGUGAGUGGAACUGCGAGUGUAGAGGUGAAAUUCGUAGAUAUUCGCAAGAACACCAGUGGCGAAGGCGGCUCACUGGUCCGGUACUGACGCUGAGGUGCGAAAGCGUGGGGAGCAAACAGG